GUUUGGUAGAACACUCACUCGAGGUGUGUUCUCUCAAAUCUCUCUCAAGCCCUAACUCUACACUCUCAGAUCCCUCUGCAACCCUAACUUUAACUCUCCACUCUCCUUCUCUAUUUUCACUUUCAUAUACAGAACCACUUCCGAAUCUUAGAGUUUCAUCCUCCUCUUCACUUUUCCUUCAUUUUUAACCGAUUAAAACCACUUUUCUACUAAUUAAAACCCUUUCUGCCGUUUGUUCUUCGAUUUCCACCAAUUAAACCUCCAUUUGCGCCGUUUCAACACUUUUGUACCGAUCAAUCUUGUGUUUGAACCGAUUAAUCGGUUCAUUUUAAGUUUCUCCCCAUUUUUAGGGUUCCUUCGGUCCAGAUUAGGGUACUUCCUCCAUUUUGGAGUUUUCCCCCAAUCCUUCUGGCUUCUAUUCAUUUGUUUAGGGUUUUUUAACAUUUUCUUCCAAUCAUUCUCCGUUUCGCGCUCGAUCUCGAGUCCGUCUAAUUAUUUCGCUGUGUUUGCUCAUCAAGGAAGCUUCGAAGGAGUUCGAGUCGAGUCUGCGUCGCUCUUUUGGUCAUCUCCUCGGAGGCUCUUCCGUCAAGUGGCCGCAAAAUCAAUCACACCCGACGGCGUUUCGGCGCUACUACUCUUUUGAAACCCAAAGAAGAGGCUGGAUUGAAGACUGAAGGUGCUGUUGGGAUUGUUUUUGAACCAAAACCAGGAAGUGGUGACAAAAUCUGCUGCGGAGAUUCUAAACGAUCAACAUAGAAAUUUUUUAGAUCAUGAAAGUUGCUUUCAUGAAGAGGCAACAAUUAUCAGCGGAGCAUUAGAUCUCACGGAGAAGAUAGCUACUGUUGGCUUGGAGAAAGGCAUUAUGAUAGUUCUAUCUCUUGCCAUCUAUAUGUUACAAAGAAUUUGACAGUUGUCAUUUCUUUAAAGACUACCUACAUCAGAAUAUAUGAAUGGCGUGAAAUUUGCUCCUGAUAUACCUAGAAAAGUGAAUAUACUGUGCCAAUGAGACAAUUUAUGCCCCUAAAUGUAUGAUAUUUUGGCUGUGUUUAAAGCUGUAGAUCAUGAGUGCCCAAGUUAGGAGAGCAUGUUUUUCUGGCAAAGAAGUAACUAUCAUAUGAUUUUUCGAAUUUUAAAUCUAAAUUUGUAUGUAUGGUCAUUGCUUCAUCAUCCAUGCCAGUUCCUUUGCUUAGCAACUGGACAUGUUCUGAAGAGCUUUAGCUGGGUUCUCUUUAUUGUUUUACGGUAACAAUCCCAGUAAUAGUAGUCUAUGGAUGUUAUAAUUUACCCACUCUUUCAGACAAUCCUCUGUUUCAGUUUCAAGAUAAAUCCUAACCGAGAUAUAUCUAUUAUAUUGGCUUGAUUUUAUAAUAGAAAACAUUUCUACAUCAUUAUGCAGACUGCUGAGGAGGCCAUGACACCAAUUGAAUCUACAUUUUCCUUGGAUGUGGCUUCCAAAUUGGACUGGUCAUUUCAUUGGAUUUAACACUAGCUAUUAAAUUAUUCAUUAAUACAAGAGUUGAAGAUUCUCGAUUUGGGGUUUAGAGCCACCACUUUGAUGAUAAAUGGCUAGUUGGUGGAGCUUCAAAUAUUGGUGGAGCAAUUCCUAGACAGUUUUUCACCGAUAGGCAAUUGUAUAAGUAGUUUAGUUUACUACUAUGUAAAGGACAAUCAGUUAUUAUUUGAUAAUUUGAUACUAUUUUCUGUAAUUUG
rnacentral:sRNA from 1 species